AUUGAACGCUGGCGGCAGGCUUAACACAUGCAAGUCGAGCGAGCGGCGGACGGGUGAGUAAUGUCUGGGAAACUGCCUGAUGGAGGGGGAUAACUACUGGAAACGGUAGCUAAUACCGCAUACCAUCAGAUGUGCCCAGAUGGGAUGAGCUGGUAGGUGGGGUAAUGGCUCACCUAGGCGACGAUCCCUAGCUGGUAUACGAGGAGGACCAGCAACACUGGAACUGAGACACGUUCCAGACUCCUACGGGAGGCAGCAGUGGGGAAUAUUGCACAAUGGGCUCAAGCCUGAUGCAGCCAUGCCGCGUGUGUGACGAAGGUCUUCGGGUUGUAAAGCACUUUCAGCGAGGAGGCGUUACUCGCAGAAGAAGCACCGGCUAACGCCGUGCCAGCCGCCGCGGUAAUUC
rnacentral:rRNA from 1 species